rnacentral:rRNA from 1 species
CCUACGGGAGGCAGCAGUGGGGAAUAUUGGGCAAUGGGCGCAAGCCUGACCCAGCAACGCCGCGUGAAGGAAGAAGGCUCUCGGGUUGUAAACUUCUUUUAAGAGGGAAGAGCAGAAGACGGUACCUCUUGAAUAAGCCACGGCUAACUACGUGCCAGCAGCCGCGGUAAUACGUAGGUGGCAAGCGUUGUCCGGAUUUACUGGGUGUAAAGGGCGUGCAGCCGGGAAGACAAGUCAGAUGUGAAAUCCCGCGGCUCAACCGCGGAACUGCAUUUGAAACUGUUUUUCUUGAGUACCGGAGAGGUCAUCGGAAUUCCUUGUGUAGCGGUGAAAUGCGUAGAUAUAAGGAAGAACACCAGUGGCGAAGGCAGAUGACUGGGCGGCAACUGACGGUGAGGCGCGAAAGCGUGGGGAGCAAACAGGAUUAGAUACCCCAGUAGUC